rnacentral:snRNA from 1 species
GUGCUCACUUCAGCAGCACAUAUACUAAAAUUGGAACAGUACAGAGAAGAUUAGCUUGGCCCCUGCACAAGGAUGACAUGCAAAUUUGUGAUGUGUUCUAUAUUUUU